GCUAGCAGCUCUGUAGGUGGACAGUUUCAUUUUUGGGCUAAUGUAAAAAUUCUUGCUGAUGUUUCCUGUUGUUUAGAAGUUGAUGCUGCUCACAGAUAAACAUGACUAUUUUCAGCCUUUAGUCAGCUUUUGCUGCCAGAAUUUUCCUGAUGUGAUGAAACGCUGAAAACAUCUGGAGUUGGUGAAGACCAGUGUUGGAUCAGAGAUGGAGAAGGCCUUACCAGUGCAGCUGCUGGAAAUGUUGAACAAUUUGGGAGAGGAGGAGCUGAAGCUUUUCCACUUUUACCUGAAGUAUGAACCUGGAGGUGAUUUCCCAACCAUCUAUAAGUGCCAGCUGGAGAACGCAGACAGACUGAAAACAGUAGAUGUGAUGAUUAAGGCAUAUUCAGACCGUGUGAUGGAGGUGGCAAGGUUGAUUUUAGAGAAGAUGAAUGAAGGAAGUCCCUCAGCCCAGGCAGCUUCAUCACUUUCAUCAGAAGUUGGGGCUGGAUCUAAGAGACUAAGGGACGGUUCAGUCCCCCAGGUGGAGGUGGAUUCAGGGGUGGAGUCUGUCCAGCUACCCUGCAAAACCACACUUCACCUGCCUCAAGAAGCCAAAGUUGAGUGGACAGACAGAAACCACAUGAAGGUCCACGUGUAUGAGAACAGAUUUGACCAGCCUGAAGAACAGGAUGGUCGUUACAGGGACCGAACGAAGAUGAAUGAAGACCUGCUGAAAACUGGAGACCUCAGUCUGACCCUGAAAUACCCCACAGAUGGAGACAACCACACCUACACUUGCACCGUCUACAGCAGGGAGGGAAACAUCCUGAUGAAGAAACAAGUGGAGCUGAAAGUCAGAGACUGUCAGGUGGAGGUGAAGGAGGGGGCGGAGUCUGUCCAGCUGCCCUUCAAGGCCACACACAACCUGCCCGAAAAUGCUACAAUAGUGUGGGAACGUACUGAAUCUAAACGAUCGAUGAUGGUCCACGUGUAUGAGAACGGCUCCGACGAGCCUCACAGACAGGACCAGGUUUACAGAGACCGAACGAAGAUGAAUGAAGACCUGCUGAAAACUGGAGACCUCAGUCUGACCCUGAAACACCCCACAGAGAGAGACAGUGGAAGAUACAUCUGUGGAGUCUACAGCAGGACGAUCUACAGACAGAAUGCUGUGCUGCUCAAAGUCACAGGUCUGUCUGUGUGUGUACUUGUUUAAACAUCUUUGUGAGGACCAAAAAUUGCGGGGACCAACUGUCAUUGUGGGGACCAUUAUGGAGCUUAAAAUGUUGCAGGGUUAGGUUUAGAGUUGGGGUUAGGGGCUAGCAAAAGCAUUGUAUCAAUUCAAUGUCCUCACUGAGACAUGACAACAGACGAGUCUGUGUGUGUGUGUGUGUGUGUGUGUGUGUCUGACUGUCUUGUGUCUCCUCUGCAGGGAGAGUUCAGGUCCAGGAUCAAACAGGG
ensembl:lncRNA